AUGAAUAUAAGAACGUAGGUGACCAUUACGCGACCACUCAUGCAAGCUGAAUAUAUACAAUGAAAUAUAUUUUCUGCCUCUCUUUUUUCAUUGUCGAAUGUUGAAGAACUUAAAAUUUAAAAUGUGCAGGUGUUGCUACGAAAAUCACAUGUAGAUCAACAGUUAUGUGUCCACAUGUUUGGGCAAAAUACCCACGUUUGAAUCCUGAUAAGAAUUACUGCAGACGACUUAACUUCUUAAAAAAUUGUACUUUGAAUGCAUACCCGGGGUGUUAUCACAUCUACUUUAAUCGUUAUCAGGUAGAUUGCUUUGGAAAUACACCUUACUGUAACUCUGCGCCCCACUUUACGUCUUUGUACAACAUAAUAUUCUUACCUACGACAUGGAUGUUUGUCUGGUGAAAUUCAAAUACGGCUUAAAAGAAAAUAUUCGAUUUAUGAAUAUUUAUGAAAAUGCAUUUUGGGAAGACAAAAGUAUAACAGUGACUAAAAUCGUGAUCUAGAGCGGCUAAAGAAACUCAUUCAACUUUACCAAAAUAUUUCCAUGAAGAAGGGACACAUUCAGCCCUACUUUAUCGUGAGGCAGCGUCCUCUCUUUACUUGCUUAUAUAUCUCGCCUCGAUAUUCGCACAGCCUCUUUUCAGCGCCUCAGAAAAUUCAAGUAAAAUUUAUUCUUGAUCACCUAACCGACAACAAUUGAUACCUAUCCAUUAAAUAGUAUGGCAUCUUCAGUUUUGUACGAAUCUCGAGUGUCUUUUUUUCUCUCUCUCUCUUUUGAUAACUACAAUAAGGAAGAUCUCUGCAUUCCGAUAUUCUGACCGUACAACAACGGUUUAAUAAUUGAUAUCAUGUGUUUCCGAAUGAUUCAACAUUUCUUUACAGGCUUACGAUCUGGUUCGCUUUAUGCUCACAGUAUUUGG
rnacentral:misc_RNA from 1 species